rnacentral:misc_RNA from 1 species
AAGACUAUAGACCUGCGGAGUACCUGCGGAAGGAUCAUUAAUGAAUAAACUUACCUUGAUGGGUUGUCGCUGGCCUUCCGAGGCAUGUGCACACCUGUCUUGACAUAUUCAUCCACCUGUGCAUCAUUUGUAGUUCUUUUGAUCUCUGAGGGUCACUAAUCUUCAGGCUUUUGCAUCCAGUUGAGAUAUACCGGAUUCUUUUGAGGAUUGCUUUUUGGCUUUCUUCUAUUAAGUUCCUGU